AUGGCUCAGGACGAACGCUGGCGGCGUGCUUAACACAUGCAAGUCGAACGGGAGUAUUGAAGAAGCUUGCUUAGAGAUACUUAGUGGCGGACGGGUGAGUAACGCGUGAGGAGCUGUCCUAUGCAGGGGGACAACAGCUGGAAACGGCUGCUAAUACCCCAUAAGCCGAGAGGUAAAAGGAUCAAUCCGGCAGAGGAGGUACUCGCGUCCUAUCAGCUAGUAGGUGAGGUAACGGCUCACCUAGGCGAAGACGGGUAGCCGGCCUGAGAGGGCGAACGGCCACACUGGAACUGAGAUACGGUCCAGACUCCUACGGGAGGCAGCAGUGGGGAAUAUUGGGCAAUGGGGGAAACCCUGACCCAGCGACGCCGCGUGGGUGAAGAAAUCCUUCGGGAUGUAAAGCCCUGUUGUAUGGGAAGAGCGGAAGACGGUACCAUACGAGGAAGCCCCGGCAAACUACGUGCCAGCCGCAGC
rnacentral:rRNA from 1 species